CCUACGGGUGGCAGCAGUGAGGAAUAUUGGUCAAUGGGCUUACGCCUGAACCAGCCAAGUCGCGUGAGGGAAGACUGCCCUAUGGGUUGUAAACCUCUUUUGUCAGGGAGCAAGUGGCGCUACGUGUAGCGUUAUCGAGAGGACCUGAAGAAAAAGCAGCGGCGAACUCGGUGCCAGCAGCCGCGGUAAUACGGAGGCUGCGAGCGUGCGCCGGAUUGCUUGGGUUUAAAGGGUGCGUAGGCGGAAUGCCAAGUCAGCGGUAAAAUCGCGGGGCUCCACCUCGCUCCGCCGUUGAAACUGGCGUUCUUGAGUGGGCGAGAAGUAUGCGGAAUGCGUGGUGUAGUGGUGAAAUGCAUAGCUAUCACGCAGAACUCCGAUUGCGAAGGCAGCAUACCGGCGCCCACCUGACGCUGAAGCACGAUAGCGUGGGUAUCGAACAGGAUUAGAUACCCCUGUAGUC
rnacentral:rRNA from 1 species